GCCUACGGGGCGCAGCAGUGAGGAAUAUUGGUCAAUGGUCGGGAGACUGAACCAGCCAAGCCGCGCGAGGGAGGAAGGUACAGAGUAUCGUAAACCUCUUUUGUCAGGGAACAAAGACUGGGACGCGUCCCCGGAUGAGCGUACCCGAAGAAAAAGCAUCGGCUAACUCCGUGCCAGCAGCCGCGGUAAUACGGAGGAUGCGAGCGUUAUCCGGAUUUAUUGGGUUUAAAGGGUGCGUAGGCGGACUGUCAAGUCAGCGGUAAAAUACGGGGGCUCAACCUCCGCCCGCCGUUGAAACUGACGGU
rnacentral:rRNA from 1 species